rnacentral:miRNA from 1 species
CAGGAGUGUCACUGAGAACACA